rnacentral:rRNA from 1 species
UACGUAGGGGGCAAGCGUUGUCCGGAUUUAUUGGGCGUAAAGAGCGUGUAGGCGGCUUUACAGGUCCGUUGUGAAAACUCGAGGCUCAACCUCGAGACGCCGGUGGAAACCGUAAAGCUAGAGUCCGGAAGAGGAGAGUGGAAUUCCUGGUGUAGCGGUGAAAUGCGCAGAUAUCAGGAAGAACACCCGUGGCAAAGGCGGCUCUCUGGGACGGUACUGACGCUGAGACGCGAAAGCGUGGGGAGCGAACAGG